UGAUCUUAGCCAAAAGGCCG
rnacentral:ncRNA from 2 species